rnacentral:rRNA from 1 species
UACGUAGGGUCCGAGCGUUGUCCGGAAUUAUUGGGCGUAAAGAGCUCGUAGGCGGUUUGUCGCGUCGGCUGUGAAAGCCCGGAGCUCAACUCCGGGUCUGCAGUCGAUACGGGCAGACUUGAGUGUUGCAGGGGAGACUGGAAUUCCUGGUGUAGCGGUGAAAUGCGCAGAUAUCAGGAGGAACACCGAUGGCGAAGGCAGGUCUCUGGGCUGUAACUGACGCUGAGGAGCGAAAGCAUGGGGAGCGAACAGG